rnacentral:lncRNA from 7 species
GGGAUGCUCAGUACCUUGCUGAUGUCAGUUUGAUACAACCCAAGGAAAGACAGAUCUUAAUUUUUGAAAUGUUCCUUUAGAAGUGUCAUGUGCAUUGAAGAACACCAAAAACAUCAAUAAACGUGCCACAGAGCUUAUCAGAGGACAGCUGCUAAACAACGCACAAAGCCACCACUGCUGAAGUUAAAAGAUAUCACCUAGGAAAUGUUUGAAAAAAGGCAUAGUCCCUGCUGCAAGAAAAGACCAGAUAGCACAGGAGUGUGCAGUUUGAAUUUGAAUUCAGAAGGAAAGAAGGAAAAGAAGGAAGAAGGCAAAGAAGGAACUCAGGGGAAACGGUGAGAUUUGUCACCCUCUCCAUUACUUUCACAGCAAAUGGAAAUAUCAGGAGGCUGAAAAAUAUACAGGUAUGUAGAAGCUCUUUCUCAGAAUUUUCUUGCUAAUUCUGUUCUGAUGUUUAUUUGUUCAAAAUUCUGUUCUUCACCGGGGAAGAAGAGGAGUCGAAAGGCUUAGAUCAGAAAGCCCAGCACCUUUUAUGCCUGCCCAUGGAGCUUUUACUUUCUGAUAAUAAUAAUAAUAAUGGUAAUGCUUAUAAUAAUGACCAUGGUGAUGAUAACAAGAGUACUAAGCAGGUAGACAUGGAGUUAGAGGAAUACAAAGAUUCAAAAAGGAAUCCUAAUAAAGAUAAAGACAGUUCAGUUACGGACAUUUAUCUACUGAAAUGUUAAGCUGAAUGCUCAGCUUCAAAGCAGUCUGUAUUUUCUAAGAAGACAUAGUAUCAGUGAGGUUAAGAUUUACUGAAUCAGCCUGAGAGCAAAGCCAUCUCUUCAGAAACCUUCAGCUGGGACACUUGCAUAUGUUUGUGGCUAGAGACUGCGUUUAGUGGAGCUGCACUGGAAAGUAAAGUGUUACUUACGUUUUUGUUUCAGCAUCAAAUGAGGAACACUUCAUUCCUAAUUGCUUCCUAACAACAUGUUUGAUCUGGUUGCUUUGUCUUCUAGUUUUCCUUAAUGGCUUCCUUUCCAGGGGUACCUUUUGGAAUUUUCCUGUUCAGUGUCUGUGCUGUGUCACUGGCCUUACACAGCUGACCUUUAUAUUUUUCCUUCUGGAGACUAUAUUUAAUUGGAUAGAACUAAAUUUUGGUUUGUUAACUAUGGAUAUAAAUUGUCAAGUGCCUAUUUUUGUUUGUAUAGCAGUAGUUUUCCAAGUUUUGUGGGCUGUCUUACAUGGUACCUAGUGGUUACAUGUUCAGGGGGGGUCAUCCUCCCUUUCUUUCUGCUUCAUUAUAUUUCUGUGAAUUGUUCAUAGUCUUCUACUCACCACAAGCAAAUAAUAUUUUUCAUGACAGACCCUUCCUCUCCCCCUCAGCAGUGUAAACAAUCACUGCAAAAGAGUGUGAAUUAAGCUUUGUUUUCUGAACUUGCAGAGAUGUUGCAAAAGAUUCUGCAGUAAAAAUAAGUCCCAGUUAGCAAUGUCAGAUUCUUAAUUUCAAAGUGGCCAAAGAUAUAAGUAUAAUUACACAAAGCCUUUUUCCAGAUGUCCAUUCAAGACUGUUUAUUUUCUUCCCUGAAAUGGCCUGUCUGCACGUUAUAUUUUUGCUUCUGAUACUUAGGUUGACAUCUAUUUGGUCAGAAAAUGUCCUGCCAAAAUGUGGACUUCUUUUCCUCCUCUCUUCGUCCCCUGGCUUGUCCUUCAUAAGCUGUACUCACAGCUUUGCUUCUGAGAGGGUGUUCUGCUGACUACUCUCCUACCUUUGUGCUUCACAGGAGAGGCUUCACAUUUGCCAGCAGUAUGUGACUGAACUGGGUUAAGGAAGAGUGUACAUUCUGUGUAGGAGCACCCAGAGCUGAGAUGAUGUUGCUCAACAAAACUGAAAGAAGUUUGGUACCCAGUGUGAAAGCCAUAGGCUUGGAAUAUCUGAAGGUCUUUUAAUGCUUCAGUACUUCCAAAGAAGGUUGGAACCUGGAGAUUUGUGUUUUAUGGUCUAGUUAUCCAACUCUGGUGCUUGUGCAGAUCUCUGUGAUGGUCCAAAAUGAUAGUAGGAUGUAACCUGUCUACAGGAUGUAGUAGGAUGUAACACCUAUCUGCAGCACUGAACAGUAGGGAGCCAGUUUGAGGUUGCUCUCAGCCCAUGUUUCAUGUGUGAAUGGGAGAAUGAACUCUGUUGAAAAGUCUGCUGGAUACAUACAGAUAACUUUCUAGUUUUUUUGAAAGGGCCUUCAGACAAUGUUAAUACUGGCAUCCACAAGCACACAAGCAUUAUCAUGAAUCAGAGCUAUUUAAGGCCUGUACGUCCUGAAUGUUAAGGGAGG